GUGAACUAAUCCUUUAAGUGUAAAUCGAAUCCUAAAAACAAACUGGAGCAUUUACAAGAAGCUCCACAAAGUAAUUACACAUCACAUGCUAUUAAUUAGUAGCUACUCAUGAAACCCAAACAUGUACAUCCAAAGCGCUUCCUGUGUUCCCCGAGUUUGCAAAUCUGGACAUUAGGGGAGAUUUGUAAUGCCACGCGUCUGUCUGAGGGCAGUAUAAAUCAGCUGGCUAACGCAUGCAUAAGUCAUCAGAAGAAGCCCUCAUCUCUGAACACAAUGGCCGCGUCUGGCCAGCCGUCACAGGCUUUUUUGCCUUUGAAAAGCAAAUUGACCUCUACAGGGAUACACGAGCAAUCUGGCCAAAAGAGAGACGCGUGCUGGACGCAAUCAAAGAUGAGCGCUGACCCCGAGGUCAAGCCAGGGGUCAGCCGUCAUUGCAUUUCUCCAAACCACCAUGACCACUGACAACUUGAGGCAUUGAGCUUUUGCUAGAGUGUUGUAUUGUGUAACGCUUUCCAUCGCAGCACGAGCUAUUUCUGUAAAUAUAAUGAACUACAACCGAGAAAACUCUUGAUGGUUGUGCUCUACAUAAUGUGUUCGUUUAAUUUGAAACGCAAUCAUCUGUGGUAUAUUUGGAGCCUUACGCGCAGAGGAAAGGGAAUGAAAUAUACUGAAUUGCAAAUGAUUAAACUGCGCUCGUUUUCAUCAGUUUACUGGCAGCAAACGGAAAGCUUUAAAGGUUUCCAGCAGCAAAGGAUCGUAUUUUUACUCUGUGAAACAGUUGCUUUAGAUUCUGUUUUGCGCGCAUAAUUGGACAGACGUGUUGCACGGGUUUGCAUUCAUCCAUUGUUCCCCUCAUUAGCAUAAAGCUGCUGUAUGACCGAGUCAAAUAAUUGCUCAAGCAUUGAGAUAUGCGCCUGCCACCAUUCUCCCCUGCAGUUUGAGAAAUAUUACAACACGACACGCAAGACUAAGAUGUUCUUUAAUUAUAUAGCUAACACACAACAACGUUCCCAAAAGCAUCUGAAGUUUUGCAACUGGAUUUGCGCUCAUCUAAAGCUUCAUCUUAAGUUCUGAUUCUUCGCUCGUUUUCUCUUCGUGUUUUCCUCUGUGUUAACAUUCUGUGAAGUUUGUUUGUCUAGGUCUUAUCCAGCACAAUGCACUUCGAUGGCAUUUUAAUGAGAUUGUGUGCGUGCGCACUGGCCUCAUGUGCGCGUGUUUGCUGUGUGGCGCGUGCUUGUCGCGUCUCAUUUGCAUACAGCUGCUCGGCCGGCGCGCGCCCCUCCCCUACUGGCCGCGCGCCCCCUCUCAAUACGAUGAACACAGUAAAGACUUAUAAACAUAUUACUCUAAAACCCAGAACAUGACAAAUGUGGGCCUUUAACGAAUGCCUCGUUGUUUACAAGCUCAAAGCCGAAAGCAGACUACAGUAGACUACAAGAAGGCCUUAUUACAUCUGUGUGAGCAUACUAUUGUUGAGUUUAAAAGGAACAUAAAACAGUUGUUAAUUCACACCAAAUAAAUAAUCGAACCUAAAUGUUUAACGGUUUAGUAAAGUGUUGUAAGGAUCAUUUGCACUGCUCCACCUACAGACUGGCACACGCUAUCGCACCAACCAAUCAAAACACUACUUGAGCAUUUUGUUUACACUAAAACUUCCCGUGUUUAUGAAGCUCUCUUUAAAUCAGAAAAGAAAAACGGUUCGUUUAGGGCUUAUGUAAAGACAUGUCAGAUCUUCAGAAACAAGGAUAAGCAAUGCAUGUUAAUAUGUUAUGAUAAAUUUUGCACAAAGUGCAAACAUUUGUGUUGGUGUAAGAAUAUGAUAUAUUGCCAGCCAUAUUGCCAGUGAAGCCAUGAAUGAAACUCUUUCUGAAGCAAAGCUAAAGCAUUGGAGAGCUGCACAGCCUGAAAACACCGAGACUCGAUGUCGCUGUCCAUGGUUCUGAAAGCAGCCUUUUGCUUCUCAAGGUGGUGAUACACGAGGGAAUUUUUGAGCAAUGUUGCUUGGGCACUUUCUCAUUGAGAAUGAGCAACACAUUUAUAUCUGGAUACUUUAAAUCGGUCGUGGGCAAUUUUUGGAGAUCCUCCAAUCAGAAUGCUAGCAGCCGAUCACGUGACCGGCUUGGAGAUUUCAGAAAAAAAUUCAAACAAGAUGGCGGCCUCUCAGCGGCAGUGGACUGAAGAAAAGGAGCGUGAACUUAUACCUUUUUACGCUGGUGAUCGAAGCUCUUACGGGUUUGGAGCGACAUGAGGAACUGAUUUCCCUAUGACCACAGUACCAUGACCCUUGAGGGCUGAACAGGCUGUGAUCUGAGACAAUCUGUGAUAUGCUAAUUGUGUAGAAAUCAAUUCUCCAUCACAUGAUGAGCACAUUAAUCACCAGCAUUCUCUAUGCGGUGCUCUAGAUUCUCAUUCUCUGAUUUCUGCUGCCGUGCUUCCGUCAAUCACAUGAUCAGCCGUGAUGAGCCGGUUUGGAAGGGUCUGAGAGGACUGAUGGAGAUUACAAGGAAUGUGAUUAGAUAAUCAAAUCGAAAACCCACUGUCAUUUGGCUGAUUUUGUUUGUUGGGGUUCAUAAUCUUUUUUUUUUAUUAUGUCAUAUUUUAUCUUAUUGUAAGUUUCAAAAUCACUGCUUUAUGAAGAAGAACAACCAACAAGGACAGAAGAAACUAGUAACUGAGAUGUAAUUUUG